rnacentral:rRNA from 2 species
UGGUGCCUUCGGGAACUGUGAGACAGGUGCUGCAUGGCUGUCGUCAGCUCGUGUUGUGAAAUGUUGGGUUAAGUCCCGCAACGAGCGCAACCCUUAUCCUUUGUUGCCAGCGAUUAGGUCGGGAACUCAAAGGAGACUGCCAGUGAUAAACUGGAGGAAGGUGGGGAUGACGUCAAGUCAUCAUGGCCCUUACGACCAGGGCUACACACGUGCUACAAUGGCGCAUACAAAGAGAAGCGACCUCGCGAGAGCAAGCGGACCUCAUAAAGUGCGUCGUAGUCCGGAUUGGAGUCUGCAACUCGACUCCAUGAAGUCGGAAUCGCUAGUAAUCGUGGAUCAGAAUGCCACGGUGAAUACGUUCCCGGGCCUUGUACACACCGCCCGUCACACCAUGGGAGUGGGUUGCAAAAGAAGUAGGUAGCUUAACCUUCGGGAGGGCGCUUACCACUUUGUGAUUCAUGACUGGGGUGAAGUCGUAACAAGGUAACCGUAGGGGAACCUGCGGUUGGAUCACCUCCUUACCUUAAAGAAGC